AGGUUAAGUUAUUAAGAGCAUAUAGUGGAUGCCUUGGCAUUAGGAGCGGAAGAAGGACGCGGUUAGCUGCGAUAAGCGUCGGUGAGGUGCCAGCAACCUUUGACCCGGCGAUUUCCGAAUGGGGAAACCCAAUCAGGCAAUACCUGAUUAUUCUGCAUUUAUGUAGGAGGACAACCCAGGGAACUGAAACAUCUUAGUACCUGGAGGAAGAGAAAACAACCGUGAUUCCCUUAGUAGUGGCGAGCGAAAGGGGAACAGCCUAAACCAUUAUCGUGUUAAAGUCUGCAGACGUUGCGAUAGCGGUGUUGUGGGAGCUUCCAGCCAGACUGCAGUUUGGCAAGCCAGUUACAAAAUAAAUUGAUAGUCGAAGGAUUUGGAACAAUCCGCCACAGACGGUAAAAGCCCAGUAGGCGAAAUCAAUUUAUCUGGCGGGAGAUUUCCCGAGUAGCAUGGGACACGAGAAAUCCUGUGUGAAUCCGCCGAGACCACUCGGUAAGGCUAAAUACUCCCUAAUGACCGAUAGUGAACUAGUACCGUGAGGGAAAGGUGAAAAGUACCCCGAGAGGGGAGUGAAAUAGUACCUGAAACUGUAUGCUUACAAGCUGUUAGAGCCCUAAGUUUCUGACUUGUCGGAGACGGGGUGAUAGCGUGCCUUUUGUAGAAUGAGCCAUCGAGUUACAGUAUGUAGCAAGGUUAAGGGCAACCGAGCCGUAGCGAAAGCGAGUCUUUAAGUGGGCGAUUAGUUGCAUGCUGUAGACCCGAAGCCGAGUGAUCUAUCCAUGGCCAGGUUGAAGCCGGUGUAACAGCCGGUGGAGGACCGAACCAACUUCGGUUGAAAACGGAGUGGAUGAGCUGUGGAUCGGAGUGAAAGGCUAAUCAAACUCGGUGAUAUCUGGUUCUCCUCGAAAUAGCUUUAGGGCUAGCCUCAAGCGUUUUGUUAUGGGGGUAGAGCACUGAUUGGGCUAGGGGCCUUCACAGGUUACCAAAUCCAGUCAAACUCCGAAUACCAUAAUUUUAGAGCUUGGGAGUCAGACUGCGGGGGAUAAGCUUCGUAGUCGAAAGGGAAACAGCCCAGACCAACAGCUAAGGUCCCGAAAUUAUACCUAAGUGGCAAAGGAUGUGGAAUUGCUAAAACAGCCAGGAGGUUGGCUUAGAAGCAGCAACCCUUUAAAGAGUGCGUAACAGCUCACUGGUCGAGUGGUCCUGCGCCGAAAAUGUAACGGGGCUCAAGGUAUAUACCGAAGCUUUGGGGUUCAAGUUUUCUUGGACCGGUAGAGGAGCAUUCUUAAUUCAUUGAAGCCGUUCUGGUGACGGGCGGUGGAGGAUUAAGAAGAGAGAAUGAUGGCAUGAGUAGCGAGAUUUAGGUGAAAAACCUAAACGCCGUAAGCCUAAGGGUUCCUGGGCAAUGUUAAUCAUCCCAGGGUUAGUCGGCCCUAAGUCGAGGCAGAAAUGCGUAGACGAUGGACAGCAGGUUGAUAUUCCUGCACCACCUAUUAAGCGUUAUUACUUAAAGAGGGACGCGGUAGGGUAGAUCAUCCGUGGCGUUGGUUGUCCACGGACAAGCCUGUAGGUCCCGCCUUUGGCGGGAUUGAGAGGUUAUGUCGAGUCGCUUUUAGACGAAGUGAUUGAUCCCACACCGACGAGAAAAGCUUUUUAAGGAGUUUGUUAGGUGCCCGUACCCCAAACCGCCACAGGUAGGCGAGUAGAGGAUACUCAGGCGAUCGAGAUAACUCUGGUUAAGGAACUCGGCAAAUUAGCCCCGUAACUUCGGGAGAAGGGGUGCCUUGUUAGAGUGAAGUUCUUUACGAAUAGAGCUUGAAGAGGUUGCAGUGACCAGGCCCAAGCGACUGUUUACUAAAAACACAGGUCUCCGCUAAGUCGUAAGACGAUGUAUGGGGGCUGACGCCUGCCCGGUGCUGGAAGGUUACGAGGAGAGGUUAGCUGCUUGCAGCGAAGCUUUGAAUCUAAGCCCCAGUGAACGGCGGCCGUAACUAUAACGGUCCUAAGGUAGCGAAAUUCCUUGUCGGGUAAACAUAUUUGCCCCAUCUGAAAGUGAUUUCAGAUGAAAACCCAGCUCAUAACGGUGAAACCCUAACGAUUAUUUGCUAACAUAGUAAAUAAGGUGAGGGCGAUACCGUGGGAAGUCUAAGUGACCCCGUAACGACUUCUCGGUGAAAACCGGGAGAUAGUGAUUCUGCCUAAAAGGUAAAUCUAUAAUCACUAUAAAUGCUGGGCUCUCGUGUAAGGAGUAAGAUGGAUAUCAAAUCCUAUUUGAGUGGUUACGUAGAUGGAGAAGGUUGCUUCUGUGUUUCGUUUUCAAGAAGCACCAAGCACAAGCUUAAGUGGGAGGUUCGGCCGAGCUUUUCAGUUAGUCAAAAUUAUGAUCGUAUGGAAAUCUUGCAUCUGUUUCAAAAAGAGUUUGGAUGUGGCUUUAUUAGGCCUGAUAGGUCUGAUAAAACAUUUAAAUUUGAAGUAAGAAGCAUUGCUGAUUUAGUAAAUAAGGUUAUUCCUCAUUUUGAGAAUUACCCUAUCCAAUCAUCAAAAGCAAAAGAUUUUCAAUUAUUUGCGGUCAUAUGUAGGCUUAUUGAAAGCGGUCAACAUCUAUCUAAAGAAGGAUUUAAGGAGAUAGUUGAACUGGCUUUUAAGAUGAAUCCUUCAGGAAAAAGAAAGUACUCCAAGUAUGAGAUGAUGGUAUAGUCUACACCAUUGGAAACAAUGGAUUAAUGUGAAGUUCCGACCUGCACGAAUGGCGUAACGAUUUGGGCACUGUCUCAACCAGAGACUCGGCGAAAUUGCAAUACCGGUAAAGAUGCCGGUUACCCGCAACAGGACGGAAAGACCCCGUGAACCUUUACUGCAGCUUGGCAUUGGAUUUCGGUUCAUUCUGUACAGGAUAGGUGGGAGGCUUUGAAGCGGAAACGUCAGUUUCCGUGGAGCCAAUGUUGGGAUACCACCCUGGAUGUAUUGGAAUUCUAACCCAGCCCUUUGAACGGGCGGGAACAGUGUCAGGUGGGCAGUUUGACUGGGGCGGUCGCCUCAAUUUUUGGGGCGCUCUAGCGGCAACGUUAGAGGCAAAUCUGGCUAUAUGCUGGAAAAUCCCAUGUAUCUGGCAGUACUAAUUAGAGACUAGAGAUUAGAGGCUAGAGACUAGUUUUAUUUGGACAAAAUCGUUCGAAUGAUUGAAUCUCUAGAUUUCAAAUAGUCUUGUUCUUUAAAAGUGAAAAUCUGACCAGUGGGGACAAUCAGCAGGGAAGUCUUAAAUGACCCCUCAACGACUACACGCCAGACCCCCUGAUUUUAUCAGGGGUGAUGAUAUAGUCUGAUCUUUGCAGCGAUGCAAAGCUCCUUUUAAGGAGGUCUAGCUUGGAGGUAGUAGUGAGAAGUAGAGAAAUAGAGGAUUACAAAAAAACUCUUAAGCUUUCCAAAGAACAAAAAGAAAUUGUUUUUGGUCUGCUUUUAGGAGAUGCUCACUUAGAAACCCAAAACAGUGGAAAAACGUAUCGGCUAAAGAUUGAGCAAUCUUUCAAUCACAAGCCUUAUGUGGACCACCUGUAUCAAAUCUUUAAAGAUUGGGUGAUAACUCCUCCAAAAGAAAAGGUAGUCCAAAGUAAGGGAAAAAAGAGUAAGAAUUAUUACUUCCAAACUCUAAGCCAUGUAAGUUUUCGUUUUUAUGGUCAGCAGUUUUACAAAGAACAGAAAAAAGUUGUUCCAAAGCUGAUACAUAGGUGGUUAACAGCCAAAACAAUUGCUUAUUGGUUUAUGGAUGAUGGCUCAAUUAAGAGCAAUCAAUCUAAAGGAGUAAUAUUUAACACUCAUUCUUUUACUAGAAACGAAGUUCUUUUACUAGCUAGUCUGUUAAAACAAAAAUACGGAUUAGAAGCCAAAGAGCGGAAACAAAAAGAAGGCUACCAGAUUUAUAUCUCGGGGAAAUCUUAUGAGAGCUUUAAAGAUUUAAUUGCUCCCUACUUGAUUUCUGAAAUGGAAUAUAAAUUACCAAAACCUAGAUUAACAUAAUGCCUAAAUUGUAACGGAGGCGCACAAAGGUUCCCUCAGCACGGACGGCAAUCGUGCGUAGAGUGCAAGAGUAUAAGGGAGCUUGACUGCGAGACUUACAAGUCGAGCAGGGACGAAAGUCGGUUCUAGUGAUCCGGUGGUCCCGUGUGGAAGGGCCAUCGCUCAACGGAUAAAAGGUACUCCGGGGAUAACAGGCUUAUCACGCCCAAGAGUCCAUAUCGACGGCGUGGUUUGGCACCUCGAUGUCGGCUCAUCGCAUCCUGGGGGUGGAGCAGCUCCCAAGGGUUUGGCUGUUCGCCAAUUAAAGCGGUACGCGAGCUGGGUUUAGAACGUCGUGAGACAGUAAGGACAUUGCUGUCUAAAAAUCUGGCUAAAUGCUGGAAAGUCUGAGAAUUUGGCACUACCUAGACAUAAUCGAACGCUUGUUCUAUAAUAACAAGCGAGGUGAAAAUGUGACCAAUGCAGAUAAUCAGCAGGAAAGACUCCGGUUAAUAUCGGAGAAUCCUCAGAGACUAUACGCCAGAAAUCACUUCGGUGAAGUGAUUAAGAUAUAGUCCGAGCUGCAUGGCGACAUGCAGAGGCUGGCAGAAAUGACCAGCCCCUCUAUGAAAGUAAUAGAGAGUAACAAAACUGUCGGUCCCUAUCCGUUGCGGGCGUAAGAGAUUUGAAGGAAGCUGUCCCUAGUACGAGAGGACCGGGAUGGACGAACCUCUGGUGUACCAGUUGUUCUGCCAAGAGCAUUGCUGGGUAGCUACGUUCGGUUUGGAUAACCGCUGAAAGCAUCUAAGUGGGAAGCCAUUCCUAAGAUAAGAUCUCUUGUACCGUAAGGUAAUAAGAUCCCGUGUAGACGACACGGUUGAUAGGCCACAGGUGGAAGUGUAGUAAUACAUGCAGCCGAGUGGUACUAAUAGAUCGAAGGCUUAACCUUUUUUAUU
rnacentral:rRNA from 2 species